rnacentral:rRNA from 1 species
AUGGCCAAGAAGCCGCUGCCAGGUAACAGUGCUGGGCGUCGUUACAGCGCGCCACCGACGUAUUCACUCGCGGCGCGCCUGGCUCAAGGGCUCCCCAACGAACAGGCCGCCUCUUCCCUUGUGGAUAGGCGCUCCAAUUGCCAGAUUUACAAGAUGACAGCUAUUAAACAAGAGGAGGUGCACAGAGCCAUUGAUACCAGCGGUGGCCAAAUUACCCAUGACGAACCACGGUGUCGGAAGCACAAUAAGCCAUACGAGCAUAUUCAUUGCUCACGCAAAGCAAGCUCAACCCAAAAGUUCAAAGGCAAGAAAGUCCAUGUAAAGCCUGGAAAGUACAUUCUCCGUGCUAACGCUGGCAUGGCCCGCUUUAUCAAGGGUGUUGAGAAAAGAGCCACCAUCACUAAAGGCUGGAGCGACUUCUUCCGUUAG